UAAAAAUUAUAAAAUUAAGUAGUAAAGAAUUUUCUGAAACUUAAAGAAUUUGGCGGUAUUUUAACUAAUUGGAGGAACCUGUUAUUUAAUUGACAUUACACAUUUAAUUUUUCCCAAAAUUUGUUUGUAUAUCGUUGUUUUCAGAUAAUAUUUUAAAAUUAUUAUCGAUAUUAAUUUAAUUUUAUAAAUCAAAUCAAGGUGCAGCAUUUUUGGGUAUUAAUGGGUUACAAUAUAUUUAAUAUACUACGAAUUAAAUAUUAAAAUAUAAUGAAGGUGGAUUCAAAAGUAAUCUAAAAUUAAAUAGUUUUUUUGAUUUAUGAUUUAAAAUAUGC
rnacentral:rRNA from 1 species